rnacentral:rRNA from 1 species
AACGAACGCUGGCGGCAGGCUUAACACAUGCAAGCCGAGCGAGAAGCUUUCCUUCGGGAAAGUGGAAAGCGGCGAACGGGUGAGUAACGCGUGGGUGACGUACCCCUUGGUGGGGAAUAACUCAGGGAAACUUGAGCUAAUACCGCAUAUGCUCUUCGGAGCAAAGGUUGCUUCGGCAAUCGCCAGGGGAGCGGCCCGCGUCCCAUUAGCUAGUUGGUGGGGUAAUGGCCUACCAAGGCGACGAUGGGUAGCCGGCCUGAGAGGGUGAUCGGCCACACUGGGACUGAGACACGGCCCAGACUCCUACGGGAGGCUGCAGUGGGGAAUUUUGCGCAAUGAGCGAAAGCUUGACGCAGCGACGCCGCGUACGGGAUGAAGGCCCUCGGGUUGUAAACCGUUGUCGUGGGGGACGAACACCCGUUGGAUGAAUAAGCCAACGGCCUGACGGUACCUCAUGAGAAAGCCCCGGCUAACUCCGUG